UAAAGCACUACGAUCGUCUGAUUAAAACUUAAAGAGCAUGGCGGUCAUAAGAAAAUUUAGGGGAACUUACCAAGUAAUUGAUAACCCACAAGGUCCCCCUCUUAACUUAAAAGUUUGUAUACCGCCGUCUAGGUGUCUUCGAAGAAAAUGCCAAAAUAAUUGUUAAUUAAAAAGACAGGUCAGGGUGCAGCUAAUGGUUAAGUUUUAGGCGAGUUACAUUAAUAUUUAAUUUUUCAAGAGAAAUUUAAAAUUUUUCAAGAAGUGGACUUAAAAGUAAUGUUUAUACAAAAAAUACAACUUGAAUUAACUUAAUGCUUAUGGUGC
rnacentral:rRNA from 1 species